rnacentral:misc_RNA from 1 species
CAGAGUUGCAAGACUCCCUAAACCAUUGUGAACCUUACCUAUACCGUUGCUUCGGCGGGCGGCCGGGUCCUUCCCGCGCCCCCUCGGCCCCCGCGGGCGCCCGCCGGAGGAUACCCAAACUAUUGACAUUAGUGGCCUCUCUGAGUCUUCUGUACUGAAUAAGUCA